rnacentral:lncRNA from 1 species
UGAUUUUCAGUAAAACUAAACGGGCAUCUUAUUCUAUUUGAGGGAAACAUCGAAGGACUAUACAACUUCUGGGAAAAAUCCCUCCACGUCCCCUCCUAACUAGUCAUUCCUAUCUUCUUUCAUUCUAUUUGUCACUCCUCAACCAAGCAUUUUACCACCAUUUUUAGCAUGUUCAGUAAGAUAGGCUAGAUAACACUAGACAAUAUGGUACAAGAAGAAAAAUUAAAAUCUUAAUAAUUGUAUCUAGGCACAUUGAAAAAGCUUGCUUGGCUCAUAGAAAUAAAUGCACUAGCUGGCUUUCA